GGCCAGACUCCUACGGGAGGCAGCAGUGGGGAAUAUUGGGCAAUGGGCGCAAGCCUGACCCAGCAACGCCGCGUGAAGGAAGAAGGCUUUCGGGUUGUAAACUUCUUUUCUCAGGGACGAAUAGAUGACGGUACCUGAGGAAUAAGCCACGGCUAACUACGUGCCAGCAGCCGCGGUAAUACGUAGGUGGCAAGCGUUAUCCGGAAUGAUUGGGCGUAAAGGGUGCGCAGGCGGCGUGUCAAGCAAGCGGUAAAAUAGCGGGGCUCAACCCCGUCGAGCCGUUUGAACUGGCGCGCUUGAGUUCAGGCGAGGUAGGCGGAAUUCGUGGUGUAGCGGUGAAAUGCAUAGAUAUCACGAAGAACUCCGAUUGCGAAGGCAGCUUACCAGUCUGCGACUGACGCUCAGGCACGAAAGUGUGGGUAUCGAACAGGAUUAGAUACCCCUGUA
rnacentral:rRNA from 1 species